GGGGGAAGGCCAUCCCCGUUAACGAUUGUUUCACCUGCUGAUCCUGUGGGAUUGCGCCUGGAGGGACGGCAACUCACAGACCUCGGGCACAGCUUGAAGUGCUGAGGGCAUGGCCGGGAGGGAGAGCUUUCUGUGGUGUGUGCCGGGAGAAGAAGGGCUUGGCAAGGCCGGAGAGCAGACGCUGCUGCUGCUGUCUGAUUCUUCCAGUAAUAGUGCUCCCCUCAAGCCACCCAGCCCAGAGGACCUUGGCUUUCUAGUUAGCCAUACCGGUGUAAAAGAUGCAGUUCGGUUUCUGAAAUAACAUGAAUUGAAGGCCGGUGUUCUGCACGUAGACCAAGUAAUAGAGGUGUUUCUUAACUGACAUUAUUGAUGGGAAAGAAACCAAGAUCUGAGAGGUGUAAAGGCUUCAUGUACAUACACAGAUGUUAAAAAAGUGAUGACUUUGGGAGAAAAAUAGGGUCUAGAGCCGUGUAAGACAUGAUCUGAAAGCUUUGUUGAUAGAGCAGCUACCCACCAGCUGACUAGAUUGCAGUGAGGUCUGCUUGUGAGGUACGCAGCUAAAAUGGUAAAGCUGAUGGAAGAGGAUGCCAGUGAGCUUCCUGCCAUGGCCAACAUAUUCCAAGGAGUCCUUGGAAGUUUGGGCCUAUUUAGAAUUUACUAACGACUGCAGCAAGGACUUUAAUUGUAGGAUUUAGGAAGAAGAUCGAAGUUUGGACUGCAGAUUGCUGGGGAAGUGAUCUGUGUAGGUGUGCGGUAGGGCUAGCUGGAGAACUUGGGAAAGCAUAGACAUGAACAAGAGCUUUUCACCCUUACUUGUGAUGCGCAGGGAAAAGUUGAAUAUCUUCAGGCAAAUAAUGUGCAAGCUCAGUAGUUUAGAGAGGAAGACUCUAUGGGAGAAGGAGGUUCCCCAUAACGCAUGGAUUUCCGUAUAAAUAGGUAGAAAGAUGAACUUCGGCAGCUGACUCAAAUAUUUAGUCUAUGAGAAAACAUUUCAGUUUACAGAGGAGCUGAGGAUGUACAGAACAGGCCAUCUUUGUCUUCCUCUCUGUAUUGCUGACUUGCAGAGAAAUUGUAGUUGUCCGUUCCUGUCAGAGGAAGAGGUUUGAUUCUGUGGGGCUGACAAACCAUUGCAAUAGAUCGGGAAGCUGAAACUAUGUCAGUUGUCUGCAGAGUGGCGAAGGGCCAGUGGCUGUUUCUGGGUCUCUCUUAAGCCUGCUAGAGAGACUAGGAGAUACGAUUUGAUACGAGGGUAUAAAGACUGAAGGGAGUAACAGUUCAUUAAAGUGAAACUUACUUUUUCCUGAUAGGAGCAACGGAAAGAAACUCGUGUGAGUAGCUGUGGCUAUAAGCAUCCAUAACUGUACACAAAGCCGUAGGAUGAUGUUCAUCUAGCACAGCAUCUUGUCCAUGACUGCUAGAAGAAGCAUCUAGCAGGAAAGGCACAGCGUGAUGCUUUCCUGUGUGGACCCUUGGCUUCUGGCCAUCUGCUGUUUAGGUACUUCCUGAGUCAAAGGUUGAAUGCUCAUCAAUAUGAUUCCCAGCCCCAAGGAAAUUUUUUACCUUGAGCUCUUCUUAAGUGCUUUAUGAAACCAUUGUUAUUUUUGGCAUGCAUAAAACCCAGUGACAAUGAGUUCUGCAGUGUAAGAACCGUGCUGUGCAGACCAGUACUGCCUUCUCCACUCUGUUCAUUGCUCAUCGUUCUCUCCAUCUGCUAUCAUGUCUCACCUCGGUUGUUCCUAAAGAUAGGUCCCUUUCUCUGGCAUCCUCAUUCUGCUGUCCUUGCUGCCCUUCUUUCUUUCCUACUUGUGCCAUAUCCUUUUUGAGAAGGGGGGACCAAACUUGCAUCCAGUGUUCAAGCUGCAAGUGUCUCAUAGUUUUACGCACCUUUACAGUAUGAGUCCUGUUUACUUCUUUCUUUUUCAUGUUUGCUCUUUUGAGCCACGAACCUGACACUGCAAAAGAACUGCCCCCCGUGACUUCCCCAGUGAGAACAGACAGGUAGCACCCACCACUACAAAAAGGGAGGAUUCCUUCCCUUUCUACCCCGCCCUCACUGCAAUAUUUUACUUUGCAAUUAUGAAAUAUGUGAUAUUGCUUCUAUUUAAUUUAGUCAUGCAAUAUUAUGAAAAUUCUUUGCAGCACCUUCCUGCCAGUUUUGGUUUCUACAGUCCUGAAUGAUCUUUUUUCUCACCAGGAAACUUAGCAUGUACCUCAAAGAGUGCACCAUCCUUCCUUUUACACAUGCACAGGGGGGUUACUCCUCAGUCUCAUCUUUGUGCGCACAAGUUCUGGUCAUUGCUGUGGCUUUGUGCAAUUUUCUCAGUACAGAAAUUGGAGUUGGUGGUUUGUAGUUUGUUGGAUUACCUCCACAGCCUUUUUAAAGAUUGGUAUCAAAGUUACCACCCUUAUUUCUUUGGUACUGAGACCAUUUUGAUGAGCAGGUUGCACAUCACAGUUCAUAGUUUAGCCUCUUCAUCCUUCAGCUGGUACAAAUCUCUGAUCCUGGUGAUGAAUAGUGACUCAUUUUAUGCAUUUCAUGUUACAUCUCUUACUAGCACUCACCAUGAGACAGUUCUUUUCACUUGUACCCCAUCAGUAAAGGUUCUUGUCUGGGAAGGUCUCCAAGAUCCCAUGGACAGAUGCAAAGAAUUAAUUUAGCUUUUCUCGUAAUCCUUCCUUGAGAAUUUUGUAUGUUGUGAUCAUCUGUUGACCUCAGACUGACCAGCAGAUUUUCUGUUUCUAGUGUGCUCGCAAAAGUUGUAUUUGCUCAUUUUUGGUAUGAAGUUUAUGGUUAGAAAUGAUCAUACCUCAAACUGUGCCUUAAAUUGAGGGACAGUUUGCUGGGUGCUAAUAUGCAGUCAAAUAGACCUGUGAUGCUUCUGUCCAGGUGGUGGUUUUGGUACACCCUGCUCCUAAUAAAAAGCUCUGCUGAAGAUAGAGCAAAAAGAAGAAACAUGUUUAGAAAGAGAAAGCUGCCUCUUCUUUUCCUAUAAGUUUCAGAAAUGUAAGCCACUCUUGGAUAAUGUACUUACUAGAAUAACGAAUGUAGAAUUGCAGAAAUGGACUUAAGAGCAAUAAGUUUCCCCAAUGACUGAGAUAGCAAAAAAAUUGUGUGACUCAUACGUGGCUCAUGCAGCCAUCUGAAAUUAUUUUAUCCAGAUUAAAAGGUUUCUGGUCAGAGCAGGAAGCUAACAGUUUAGAAGAUAGAAUACUUUGUAAGAAGUGGGAUGGGCACAAGAAUCAGUUGACAAAGGGAAUUUUGAAUUAUUAUAAAACAGAUUGCUGUUUCAGGGUAGCAAAAAUGUUAAUCUAAGAAAAAGAUGGGGGUAAAAUACUCCUGGGGCAGGAAGUGUAGUAAGCGUGCUGCAAAAGAGUGUUUCUGUAACUGCAUGGGGUGCUGUAUUCUGUGGGCAUGUCUUGGAUGUGCUUGGGCUCAAAACCUGCGUAAUGAAGAAGCAAGAGUAUGUAAUACUAGCACAGACUCAAAUAAAAUGAGUUCUCAGCCAGAUUUGAUUUCUGAAAUAGGUCACAUUACGCUCAGGGAGGAAGGUUGGGGCCCCAGCUACCUACCUCGGUGGGUCUGGGGGAGUUGGAUUCCGCAGGAGAUACUUCACUGCGGCACAGUCUCGCAGUGUAAAGGGAAGAGUUCUGUUUUCUGCCUUUGCAAAACAGCUCCUCUGGGAGCAGGCUGGACAUACUCCAUUUCUUUUAGAUGGCUUGUAGAAUAGCUAUUAAACGGUCAAUAAAAGCAUAAAAUAUACCCGUCAUUCUUUAUGUUUGGGUUUGAGUAAGAACCUCAGUAAAAAUCGUGCUUUGAGUUCCUAAAGACGGAUUAAAGGGAUUUGGGCUAUACUUAAAUUACUGACGCUCAGUCUCCUUGUCAGACUGUCCUGUUGGCUUGUAAAUGCUAAUACAGAUGCAGAGAUUCCAGACUAAAAGGGACACAAUCUAGUUUGGCAGGUAACCCUUUACAAAUACAAAUAAACCAUUGCAAAUUGUUUGGCCAUUAGUAUGCAAUUGUUUUAGUAUUUGAAUGAACACCAGACUUUGAUAAAUUGUUACUGGAAAAUUAGAUCCAUGACCAAAGAAACGCAUUCAGUUUGAUUUGAUUUGAUUUCCUGAGCUAAGGGAAAGGCCAUAUAAUUUAACUGUAGUUGGUUUUCCUUCUUUCCUUAUUAAAAUUGAUUAUGUUAUUGUUUGCUGUUGUAUUUUAGAUGACAGCCAAGGAACACAAACUGCAUUGUGGGCACUAGGAAAAAAAUACUAAUGAAGGAUCAAUAGAAAAGGACAGCAUUUGGAAGGAGAAAGAAAAAGUGGCAAAGAAGAUGUAUUAAAUUGACUUGUUCUGCAGCAAGUAUUUGCGUUUCUUCUAACAAAGAGACUGGAUCCUUAGGAGACAACUCCCACCAUCAUAUCUUAUCCCAUGUUUCAUUUGGGAAGAACGCAGUGGGAAGGAUUUAAAUCACACCUUAAAGUCAAAGGCCAGAUCUGACAGAAAGGCAAAAUUCUUUCAAAAGUGUGACGUACCUCUAAGUUUUAUGAAAAUCAGUGGCUGGGCCAGAGGAGAGAUCUUAUCCGUUUCAUCACUGGAGAACAUCACAGCAUUGUCCCCAGUGACCUGUAUUUUAUGUCUAAGUGGCAACAGAAGUGCGUAAACACCUUGGAGAUAAGUAGCAUGAUGACACAUUAUGGGAGAAGGGCACACAAGUUAAAGGAAAAGCAGUUUUGGUUUUCAGACAGCUUCUCCAACUUAAUCUGACAUCUGCUAAUGCCUUCCUCACAUCCAUAUCGUGAUGAUUAUUUAAAUGGAGAAAUUGAUAAGAUCAUUUAAGAAACUAAGCUUCCUGUAGUUCCUCCCUAUUCGCUAACAUGCUGGUCAGCAGAUAAUGUUUAAACAUCUCCUUAGCAAAGAGAUAAGGUUUCUUGUCACACUCUGGGAAGCAGCUUCUUCUGUUAGGGAAUUCCAACAAGUCAGUACCUUAAAAAUUUAUUUAAACCCGUGUUGGUGACAUGCCUUUUCUUCAAUUGUCCUACCCUUCCUCACUAAACCCAGGUUACAUGUUUCCCGAAUUCUUUCAAGCUUAAAUCUGAAGCAUCUGAGUGUCUGGAAACUACUGUCUUGCAAGGGAUUCGGAACGGGCUAAUGGGUAGAGAUGAGAAGAAAGAGAUACCCUGUUGUGAUGAUCAAUGUAAAUAAGAAAAUUCUCUCCUCCCCUCCUCCAUUAACAAAAAAAGAAUACAGUUUUCUUCUUAGAUAAGAUAAUAAGGCA